rnacentral:rRNA from 1 species
AUUGAACGCUGGCGGCAGGCCUAACACAUGCAAGUCGAGCGGAUGAAGGGAGCUUGCUCCUGGAUUCAGCGGCGGACGGGUGAGUAAUGCCUAGGAAUCUGCCUGGUAGUGGGGGAUAACGUCCGGAAACGGGCACUAAUACCGCAUACGUCCUGAGGGUGAAAGUGGGGGAUCUUCGGACCUCACGCUAUCAGAUGAGCCUAGGUCGGAUUAGCUAGUUGGUGGGGUAAAGGCCUACCAAGGCGACGAUCCGUAACUGGUCUGAGAGGAUGAUCAGUCACACUGGAACUGAGACACGGUCCAGACUCCUACGGGAGGCAGCAGUGGGGAAUAUUGGACAAUGGGCGCAAGCCUGAUCCAGCCAUGCCGCGUGUGUGAAGAAGGUCUUCGGAUUGUAAAGCACUUUAAGUUGGGAGGAAGGGCAGUAAGUUAAUACCUUGCUGUUUUGACGUUACCAAAAGAAUAAGCACCGGCUAACUUCAUG